ACGCUCGACACCUACGGGAGGAGCAGUGGGGAAUAUUGCACAAUGGGGGAAACCCUGAUGCAGCGACGCCGCGUGAGCGAAGAAGUAUUUCGGUAUGUAAAGCUCUAUCAGCAGGGAAGAAACUGACGGUACCUGACUAAGAAGCACCGGCUAAAUACGUGCCAGCAGCCGUGGUAAUCUGAGCGGGCUGGCAAGGC
rnacentral:rRNA from 1 species